UACGUAGGGACCAAGCGUUGUUCGGAUUUACUGGGCGUAAAGGGCGCGUAGGCGGCAAUUCAAGUCAUCUGUGAAAUCUCCGGGCUUAACUCGGAACGGUCAGGUGAUACUGCUUUGCUAGAGUGCAGAAGGGGCAAUCGGAAUUCUUGGUGUAGCGGUGAAAUGCGUAGAUAUCAAGAGGAACACCUGAGGUGAAGACGGGUUGCUGGGGCUGACACGUGACGUGAGACGCGAAAGCGUGGGGAGCAAACAGG
rnacentral:rRNA from 1 species